GACGAACGCUGGCGGCGUGCCUAAUACAUGCAAGUAGAACGCUGAAGAGAGGAGCUUGCUCUUCUUGGAUGAGUUGCGAACGGGUGAGUAACGCGUAGGUAACCUGCCUUGUAGCGGGGGAUAACUAUUGGAAACGAUAGCUAAUACCGCAUAACAAUGGAUGACACAUGUCAUUUAUUUGAAAGGGGCAAUUGCUCCACUACAAGAUGGACCUGCGUUGUAUUAGCUAGUAGGUGAGGUAAUGGCUCACCUAGGCGACGAUACAUAGCCGACCUGAGAGGGUGAUCGGCCACACUGGGACUGAGACACGGCCCAGACUCCUACGGGAGGCAGCAGUAGGGAAUCUUCGGCAAUGGGGGCAACCCUGACCGAGCAACGCCGCGUGAGUGAAGAAGGUUUACGGAUCGUAAAGCUCUGUUGUAAGUCAAGAACGGGUGUGAGAGUGGAAAGUUCACACUGUGACGGUAGCUUACCAGAAAGGGACGGCUAACUACGUG
rnacentral:rRNA from 1 species